AUGGAGUACUAUCAUAUUGCCAACAAGAUGUUUAAUAGUGAGGAUGAAGGUUAUACAUUCUAUAACAAAUAUGGUCUUGAGAAAGGUUUUAGUGUCCGGAGAAGCUAUGUCGAGUGAGAUGGAUCCAACUGCCAUAUAAUUUUAAGGAAAUUUGUGUGUAGUCGUGAAGGGGUUCGUGAAGAGAAGCACAUGAAGAGGAAGAUGGAAGAUAGAAAGAGGAGGCCACGGAGUAUAACUCGUGUAGGGUGUAAAGCUAAAUUGGUGAUUGCAAGACAGGAGGAAACAUGUCAGUGGUUUGUCAAGGAUUUCAUCGAUGAACACAACCAUCCUCUAGCCCCACGGGAUCUGUCGUGUCUUUUGCGUUCACACAGAAGAAUUAGCGAUGAGCAGAAAGCGGACAUUGCAGACAUGGAAAAAUCUGGGAUCAGAAAACACCAUAUUAUGGAUAUUAUGUGCAUGCAAUACGGUGGAUAUGAUGAGGUUGGAUGCAUUAUGAGGGACAUUUACAAUUUCUGCCAUGCUAACAAGCAAGAAACAAUUUCUUUCGGGGAUGCUCAAACGGUGAUCAAUCACAUGGUGGCGAGGCAAGAGCAAGAUUCGGAUUUUUUCUUCAGGUACUUGGUUGAUGAAGCUGGCCAUCUGAAGGGACUGUUCUUGUGUGAUAGUCAAUCCCGACUUGACUACGUGGCUUUUGGAGACGUUAUUGUUUUUGAUAGCACAUACAGAACCAAUAAGUACAAUCUGCCAUUUGAGCCGUUUGUUGGGUUGAAUCACCACCGCAGCACCGUUAUUUUUGCAUGUGGUAUCAUUUCACAUGAAACAAGCCAGGCAUACGAGUGGAUGUUACGGACCUUUUCUGAUGCUAUGGGACAGAAGCAUCCUAUAUCUAUGAUCACGGAUGGGGACCUUGCAAUGUAGAGAGCAAUCAGGGUGGUGUGGCCUGACUCAAACCAUAGGCUCUGUAUAUGGCACAUUCAGCAGAACAUUGUACGCCAUCUGCAUGAUGACGCGGUACAGGAGGAAUUCCGAUCUUUCAUAUAUGAUACAUCUUCCAUUGAAGAGCGUGAGAGAAAAUGGUUACACUUCUUACAACGGAAUAAAGUAACAAGUGAGGACUCCUGGUUGCAUCAGAUGUAUAAGAUGAGAAAACUGUGGUGUGCUCCAUAUCUUGAGGGCCGUUGUUUUCUAGGAUUGAGCAGCAAUCAGCGGAGUGAGAGUUUAAACUCGGUGCUACAUACGCAUCUUGAGGCUAAGAUGACGUUGUUUCAAAUGCUAGAGCACUAUGAGCGUUGCCUCGCGUCGCGACGCUUGAACGAGGCUCUCCAAGACGUCGAGGCCUUACAGUCCGUUCCGUUCACAGAGGAAAAUGCUUCAGUUCUUGAGAACGCCGCGAAAGUUUUCACUCCUGCUGUGUUUAAGUUGGUCUUAUGGAGCAUAGAUGCUGUCAAAAAAUAUGAGAUCAGAGAGGUACUUGAUGCAGCAGAGGUUACCACAUACGUUGUGUCUAAGAAGGAAAGAAUGGAUAAAAAGAUCGAAGUGCGCACGGAGUCAAAGGAAGGUAUGCUUCGCAGUAUCAGUUGUUCUUGCCACAAAUUGGAAUGCGCAGGCACACCAUGUUCCCACAUAUUUUACAUAUUGGGAAUUUUACAAGAAGAAACACUGCCCAGGUGUUGUGUUCCCACUAGGUGGACAAUGAGUGCAAAAUGUGCAUUCGCACCGACCAGAAAGAGCGAGAUGUAUGCAUACUCUGCAGCCCUACAAAGGUACCGUAAGCUAAGAAUUAGUCACGCAGCAUGUUUCAAGGCAUGCCACUCUGAUGAGGCGUUUCAGGAUCUAAAAAGGGUUUUGGAAGGACAAGAUGUUUGCAAGGGAUCAACAAGUGAACAAGCUGAUAGCAAGGGAUCAACUAAUGCUCAGGGUAACAGCAUUAGGUUUGGCCCGUUGAUGCCACAAUCGGCUAACCUUGAUGGUGAAGGUUUCGAAAAGGUUCUGGAUCCCGUGCAUGUGCCAGGCCGAGGUGCUCCGAAGAAAAGGCUACAGGCAAAGAUGAAGAAAACUAGAACAAAGGGUAGAUGUAGCUAUUGUCAUGAGGCAGAUGGUCACAAUCGACGUACGUGCGCCAAAUUGAUAGAGGUGCCUAAUAUUAAUAAUAUCCUUAUGUGCAGGAUCUCAAAGCAGAACUAUGAUAGCUACAACAUUGUGCGCACGGUCGGACAUCAAGUACGUCGACAAUCAACCUUUGGCGUGUGCAUUGUCGUCUAUGUCUAG
rnacentral:rRNA from 1 species